AUUUGUCCACCCAGUCUCCCUACCUCUGGGAGAGCUUUAGUGGAUAAUUUCCCUGGGGUCCAGUGUGGUGCUUAUGUAAUCUUCAUGCCCCUCCAGCACUGCUCCCUCGAGCCCUGUUUAGUGAUGUCAUAACCCAGAAUCACCAUAGGACGCAAGGGAGCAGUGCUGGAAGAACACAUUGGCAGUUUCUCACUGUCCGCAUUGUCUCCCCUCCG